AUCCAGUCAAAGAGUCUCAAAUAGGACGAAACGUUCGUCCUGGAU
rnacentral:hammerhead_ribozyme from 1 species